rnacentral:lncRNA from 1 species
UCUCAGAUUCCCAGUUUAGGGCUAUGUGCCUGACCCAGAAUUUGGCCACUGUCUCCCUUUUCAUGAAAAACAAAUGCCUAAAGCAAGAAGUGAUUUUUGAUGGAUUUAAUUUGGGAAAAGAUGUUGUGUCCUCUUCUGUCAUUUUUAGUCACUCAGAUUUCCUAAGCAUGUCCUGCUAUAGGUUGAAAUGCCUGAUUUGGGGAGGGAACCAAAGGGAUUGUCUCCCUUUCCUCCAGUAAGAAUGCUAUGUUUUGUACCCUUCAACUAAUGAGUCCAGAAUUACCUUGUUCUCAUCCCAUCCCAAACUUAAAGAAGAAAAUAGGGAAGGAUGCAGGCAAGAAAGACUUUACUGUACAAUGCAUAUCAUAAAUGGCCUUAAACUGUGAUUCUUUUUGGUAUGAUGUGUUUUCAUUAACUGACCCAAAAGAAUGCAGUAACUCUUAAACUGCAGGUAUUGUAUUUUUAAUGAAGCAUUACCUGCAGCUUUGUUCUUGCUAAGCAAGCGGAUGGAAAGGGAGUGGUAGAAGGAAGGAGGAAACUUCCUCUUUUGCUUUCUUAAAUGUAUUCCCUUAAUAUGAUCUCCUUGGAUGAUCAGGGAAUAUUCCUGUGCAUAUGGAGACCUGAUUCAGUUCAAAACUUUCUCAGUUCUAUAUCCAAGUCCUUCAUGCAAAACUUGAUAACUUGGCCAGGAAUCCCUAGAGAAUAAAGAAGAGAAAAUAGUAGGAAGAAAAUUAGAGCUUCUCACUGCCUAGUAUAGGGUAAUGACUGAUAUUUUCCUUCCUCGAACUGGGGUCUUGUUCUAGUAACUGGAAAUGGGCCAGUGGUUGGAAUGAUAGGAGAAGCACAGAAUAUGUUACAUCACCCCAACCUCUUUGAACCAAAACUCCCAUACAAUCUUGAUGAUCUCUCUCUGUAUGAAGGCAGCUAACAUAAGGAAGACAGGGAUAAAAGGUAUGGGUUAAGAAUUAAGGAAACAACUUUUUUUUGGAACGUAAGGUGGCUAGUGGCCCAAAUUUUUCCAUUGCCAUAGAGGAGAGGACAAAAUGGAAUUGCAGGGAGUAGGAUGGAAUUGUCCCUCUCUAAUCCUAUAAUGUAAAUAAAUACACAUACCCUUGGAGGGAGGAGGGGAAUAGAUUGUAAAUAUGAAACAUUUUAAAUAAAAUUUUGUAACUGAUUUCCCCUCUGCCACCAAAAAAUAAAGUAUUUUAUGCCAGAUGAUCUAAUUUUUUUUAAUUGUUGGAUGAUUGUGAAACUGGGUGCAGUGGAAUGGAACUGUUCAUUCAGCUUCAAAAGUGCAUGUUAAAUCCUGAAGGGGAAACUGCCUGGGAUAAAUAAGAACAAUCCGUACAAAUCUAUUUGUGUUUUGCCC